rnacentral:rRNA from 1 species
UCCAGUUCGGACUGUAGUCUGNAACCCGACUACACAAAGCCGGAAUCGCUAGUAAUCGCGAAUCAGAAUGUCGCGGUGAAUACGUUCCCGGGUCUUGUACACACCGCCCGUCACACCAUGGGAGCCGGUAACGCCCGAAGUCAGUGACCCAACCGAGAGGAGGGAGCUGCCGAAGGCGGGACAGGUAACUGGGGUGAAGUCGUAACAAGGUACC